UACGUAGGGUCCGAGCGUUGUCCGGAAUUAUUGGGCGUAAAGGGCUCGUAGGCGGUCUGUUGCGUCGGGAGUGAAAACUUACAGCUUAACUGUGAGCGUGCUUCCGAUACGGGCAGACUUGAGGUAUUCAGGGGAGAACGGAAUUCCUGGUGUAGCGGUGAAAUGCGCAGAUAUCAGGAGGAACACCGAUGGCGAAGGCAGCCCCCUGGGCCAACACUGGCGCUCAGGCACGAAAGCGUGGGGAGCAAACAGG
rnacentral:rRNA from 1 species